GCUUUUUUCAUUUCAUUUAUUAGCAAAAAGAGAGAGAGGAGCUUCAUUUAUUUUCAUCAGCGCCUCAGUAAAAGCAUAGCAAUUUGCAACACAAAAAUCAUUUCAAGUACCUCAGCCUUGUGCAAAUCUUUUUUUGUUGUUGUUGUUGCUUUAAAAGCCUUUUAAAGUUCACCACCUCCCCCGCCCAACCCCAUUCUGAAAGGACGUGCGUGUGUGUGGAGAGUGGCUGUGAAAGUGGCACGGGCUCUGGGAAGAGAAGUAAGGAGGACUGCUGGGAAGGAAACCAGGUUCUCGGAUGAGCAGGGGCUGUGAUAUGAAAGUGAUCAAGAGCAGAAGAAUUCAGCCUGGCUGCGCCCGAAGAUGGUUCUGUCCAUGGCCUUGUACGAGGAAGGAGGGACUGAUGGUUCACGCUGAGCUCUUGGAUGAGAAAUGGUUUCUUUCUGGCAUUUAAGAAAGAAGUUCUCUUUUUAAAACCCACAAAUAUUUGUUAGUUAUUUUUCUCCUUGAGAAAUGUUUUCCUGAAAUCUGCGACGCUGAGGCUCGUCGUGGACAUUUCGGCUUCUGUGGCCUAUGAAAGUUGACUGUGAACGAGGGCUGCUC
rnacentral:lncRNA from 1 species